rnacentral:rRNA from 1 species
UACAGGGGGGGCAAGCGUUGUUCGGAAUUACUGGGCGUAAAGGGCUCGUAGGCGGCCAACUAAGUCCGACGUGAAAUCCCAAAGCUUAACUUUGGAACUGCGUCGGAUACUGGAUGGCUUGAAUUCGGGAGAGGGAUGCAGAAUUCCAGGUGUGGCGGUGAAAUGCGUAGAUAUCUGGAGGAAUACCGGUGGCGAAGGCGGCAUCCUGGACCGACAUUGACGCUGAGGAGCGAAAGCUAGGGGAGCAAACGGG